UCCCCUUCGGGGGUGACGCUUGUGGAAUGAGCGGCGGACGGGUGAGUAACACGUGGGCAACCUGCCUGUAAGAUUGGGAUAACCCCGGGAAACCGGGGCUAAUACCGGAUAACACUUUUUGUUGCAUGACGAGAAGUUGAAAGGCGGCUUCGGCUGCCACUUACAGAUGGGCCCGCGGCGCAUUAGCUAGUUGGUAAGGUAACGGCUUACCAAGGCGACGAUGCGUAGCCGACCUGAGAGGGUGAUCGGCCACACUGGGACUGAGACACGGCCCAGACUCCUACGGGAGGCAGCAGUAGGGAAUCUUCCGCAAUGGACGAAAGUCUGACGGAGCAACGCCGCGUGAGUGAUGAAGGUUUUCGGAUCGUAAAACUCUGUUGUUAGGGAAGAACAAGUCGGGUAGUAACUGACCCGGCCUUGACGGUACCUAACCAGAAAGCCCCGGCUAACUACGUGCCAGCAGCCGCGGUAAUACGUAGGGGGCAAGCGUUGUCCGGAAUUAUUGGGCGUAAAGCGCUCGCAGGCGGUCCUUUAAGUCUGAUGUGAAAUCUCGCGGCUCAACCGCGAACGGUCAUUGGAAACUGGAGGACUUGAGUACAGAAGAGGAGAGUGGAAUUCCACGUGUAGCGGUGAAAUGCGUAGAGAUGUGGAGGAACACCAGUGGCGAAGGCGACUCUCUGGUCUGUAACUGACGCUGAGGAGCGAAAGCGUGGGGAGCGAACAGGAUUAGAUACCCUGGUAGUCCACGCCGUAAACGAUGAGUGCUAGGUG
rnacentral:rRNA from 1 species